rnacentral:rRNA from 1 species
ACGAACGCUAGCGGCAUGCCUUACACAUGCAAGUCGAACGGCAGCACGGGGGCAACCCUGGUGGCGAGUGGCGAACGGGUGAGUAAUGCAUCGGAACGUGCCCAUCGAUGGGGGAUAACUGCGCGAAAGCGUUGCUAAUACCGCAUACGACCUACGGGUGAAAGCAGGGGACCGCAAGGCCUUGCGUCGAUGGAGCGGCCGAUGCCGGAUUAGCUAGUUGGUGAGGUAAAGGCUCACCAAGGCGACGAUCAGUAGCUGGUCUGAGAGGAUGAUCAGCCACACUGGGACUGAGACACGGCCCAGACUCCUACGGGAGGCAGCAGUGGGGAAUAUUGGACAACGGGCGAAAGCCUGAUCCAGCAAUGCCGCGUGUGUGAAGAAGGCCUGCGGGUUGUAAAGCACUUUCAGUAGGGAAGAAAAGCCUAAGGUUAAUACCCUUGAGUCUUGACGUUACCUACAGAAGAAGCACCGGCUAACUCCGUG